UUGAUCCUGGCUCAGAGCGAACGCUGGCGGCGUGGAUGAGGCAUGCAAGUCGAACGCGAAAGCUUCCUUCGGGAAGUGAGUAGAGUGGCGAACGGGUGAGUAACACGUAAUCAAGCUACCUCCGAGACUGGGAUAACUGCGGGAAACUGCAGCUAAUACCGGAUAGUCCUUCUGGCAUGAUCCGGUUGGUAAAUGGUUGGGAUCCUUCGGGACCUUCUGCUUGGAGAGGUGAUUGCGGCCUAUCAGCUUGUUGGUGGUGUAAUAGACCACCAAGGCGACGACGGGUAGCGGGCCUGAGAGGGUGGCCCGUCACACUGGGACUGAGACACUGCCCAGACUCCUACGGGAGGCUGCAGUCGAGAAUCUUCCGCAAUGGACGCAAGUCUGACGGAGUGACGCCGCGUGUAGGACGAAGGCCCUAGGGUUGUAAACUACUGUCACGGGUUAUGAAUGGUCUGUCGUUAAUAGCGGCAGGAUUGACAAAGGCUUGAGAGGAAGUCACGGCUAACUCUGUGCCAGCAGCCGCGGUAAUACAGAGGUGGCAAGCGUUGCUCGGAAUCACUGGGCAUAAAGGGCGUCUAGGCGGAUCGGCAAGUCGGCUGUGAAAUCCCUCGGCUCAACCGAGGAAGUGCAUCCGAAACUGUUGGUCUUGAGGGCGAUAGGGGAGAGUGGAACUCCUGGUGGAGCGGUGAAAUGCGUAGAUAUCAGGAGGAACGCCGGUGGCGAAAGCGACUCUCUGGCUCGUUUCUGACGCUGAGGUGCGAAAGCUAGGGGAGCGAACGGGAUUAGAUACCCCGGUAGUCCUAGCCGUAAACGAUGGGUACUAGGUAGGGGAGCUCUGACGCUCUCCCUGCCGUAGCUAAUGUGUUAAGUGCCCCGCCUGGGGAGUAUGGUCGCAAGGCUAAAACUCAAAGGAAUUGACGGGGGCUCACACAAGCGGUGGAGCAUGUGGUUUAAUUCGAAGCAACGCGCAGAACCUUACCUGGGUUUGACAUCACGGUGGUAGAACCCUGAAAGGGGAACGACCCGGGGCAACUCGGGAGCCUUGACAGGUGUUGCAUGGCUGUCGUCAGCUCGUGCCGUGAGGUGUUGGGUUAAGUCCCGUAACGAGCGAAACCCUUGUCGUUAGUUGCCAGCGAGUAAUGUCGGGGACUCUAACGAGACUGCCGGUGUUAAACCGGAGGAAGGUGGGGAUGACGUCAAGUCAUCAUGGCCCUUACGCCCAGGGCUGCAAACGUCCUACAAUGGCGCGCACAAAGGGAAGCGAACUCGCAAGGGUAAGCCAAUCCCGUAAAGCGCGUCCCAGUCCGGAUUGUGGGCUGCAAUUCGCCCACAUGAAGUCGGAAUCGCUAGUAAUCGCGGAUCAGCAUGCCGCGGUGAAUAUGUUCCUGAGCCUUGUACACACCGCCCGUCAAGCCACGGAAGCCGGGAGUGCCCGAAGCACGUGACCCAACUUAGGAAG
rnacentral:rRNA from 1 species